rnacentral:rRNA from 1 species
AUUGAACGCUGGCGGCAGGCUUAACACAUGCAAGUCGAGCGGGGUGAUGGUGCUUGCACUAUCACUUAGCGGCGGACGGGCGAGUAAUGCUUAGGAAUCUGCCUAUUAGUGGGGGACAACAUCUCGAAAGGGAUGCUAAUACCGCAUACGUCCUACGGGAGAAAGCAGGGGAUCACUUGUGACCUUGCGCUAAUAGAUGAGCCUAAGUCGGAUUAGCUAGUUGGUGGGGUAAAGGCCUACCAAGGCGACGAUCUUUAGCGGGUCUGAGAGGAUGAUCCGCCACACUGGGACUGAGACACGGCCCAGACUCCUACGGGAGGCAGCAGUGGGGAAUAUUGGACAAUGGGGGGAACCCUGAUCCAGCCAUGCCGCGUGUGUGAAGAAGGCCUUAUGGUUGUAAAGCACUUUAAGCGAGGAGGAGGCUCUUUUGGUUAAUACCCAAGAUGAGUGGACGUUACUCGCAGAAUAAGCACCGGCUAAAUCUGUGCCAGCCGCCGCCGUAA